CCCACCAUGCCUGCUGUUCCAAAGCUCACUUUGCCUCCAUUGCCAAGCAUACCCUCAAUCCCCACUAUCCCAACAACAACUCCCUCUAUCCAUUCCUUUCCCCACCACUAGUUGGAAACUAGUGCGAGGAAAAAUGCAUUUUGUUUUGAUCUGCCAUAUGCUAGAAGGAUGCAUCUCCUGGCUUCAUCUCUUUAUGUGUCACACAGAAUUUCCCAUAUUGUGCUUAUUCUUUUCUCUUUUUUUUUUAGCAGCAUAAUGUACACCUGUAUAUUUCUCUGCUCUUCUGUACAGUUUCCUAUGUUUUCUGGAUAAUCAUUGAGUUCUAUAUCGUUCUUAAAGCUUUUGAACAUAUUCAACAAUUGCAAACCCUCCAACAUUCAUCAUGUACAUUCUAAAACCAUAUCAAUUUAGUCUAGAACUCAGAAAUAAAAGCUUAAAAUGUCAAUCUAAGCUUCAAUCUCAUUUCCAAUAUAUAUAAAAACUCUAUGUUUAAUUAGUGUGGUCCAUGGAUGGAUCCAUAGACUUUUUACCCAACGGGAGAACGAUAUUUUUAUCAGGCAAAUAAUUGUUUCUGUCGGAUGGAAAAUUUUCCGUCCAACACAAAUAAAAUUCCUACGUCGUUUCAAAAAAAUUUAUGGGUCAAGUUGGACCGUUUUGCUCUCCCCAGCCCAUUUCCACUGAGUCAUAGGUCUCGAGACUCUCAAAUAUAAGGUACAUAAAAAAACCCAAAUAGAAAACGACAAUCUGUUCUCACAAAGUAUGCUUUUUCCAACUCCAACUGGGACUUGGAGAGAGUGUAUAUAUAUUUACCUGACGCCGCAACAAUUAAGCAAACCUUGUUACUAUAUGAAGACUUUCAUCUUUCAAAACCAAAAUUCCAUUCUUAUAAUAUCAACAAAUACCAAUAAUCUUUCCUCUAUCAACCGAAAAUAUGCAGCUUCAAAACCUGUUCAACUUCGACGACGACCAAACCAGCCCAAGCAACUUAACCAGUCUACAAGUCACUUUCAUCUCUGCUCGAAACCUUAUUCCAAAAUCCAAAUCCUCAAACAGGAAUCAAACCUACGUUGUUGCUUAUAUCGACCCGAAUCAGCAAAAGUUUAAAUCAAAAGUGUCACUACAACAGGCAACAUGCACCCUAAAUGGAACGACAAGGAUAUAAUGGUCGUAGAUAAUGAUUUGAAGAUUACGAGACCUAAUGCUUGCAUGAUGCUUGAAAUAUACUAAGUAAAUGGAAGCGUUAGUAUUUUCAAGAAAGAUGAGAAGAUUGAUGUGGCUCAUGUCCUGUUAGAAAAUUUCAUACCUGAAAAUCAUGGAAGUGAGAAGUGCAUGGCUUUGAAUGUUCGUUCUGAUUCUGAAUCUGAUGGUGAGCCUAGAGCUAUACUUAAUGUUGGCGUCGAAAGGCUUUUUGAUCAUCCAAGAUUGUUCAGUUCGUUUGAAAUCGAACGUUUUUCAUGCUAGGGUCAGGUUUAUUCAAUGCAAAACAAUGUUAUUUAUCGCUUUGUAGAUUCUUCAGAAAUGUUACUUGUCGUUUGCUUUAUCGAGCAAGAAUGCUGUCGUUUGUUUAUUAAUUAUUUCAGUUUAGUUGGAAAGUUUAAGCAGCAAUUAAAAAAUACUAGAAUGAAUUUAGCCAAAAUCAUUUAUAUAAAUAAUUUUAUCCUGAGCAUAUAUGGGUCCAUGCACAGAAUAUAAGUAAUAAGUCUUUCUCGAGAAGGAAAUUUCUACCUACACCUAAUAUAUGACACCUAAUAUAUGAGUGAUCUGAUGCACCAAACCAAUAAAAAAAAAAAUUUUUCUUUUUUUUUUUUUUAAAAAGCCAGAGAUCGAUAAUUUUUUUUUUUUUUUUUGUUUAAAUUUCAACUAGCUCGUUAGAAAUGAAGUAUUUGACGUACAGUAUUUCACUAACUAUUUAACGAUCUGAAGUCCAAUAAUUUGGUAUACGAUUGAACAUCAAUAAUUAAAAUCCAAUAAAUUAAAAGUGCUUCAUAUUUGACAAUAACUACCAACUGUCCCACAACAACAAUUGACACUAUUUGAAUAAAAUAAGAGUAAUGCCGCCACACUUUUAGGCAGUAAACUCUAUAAUUGAAUCCCCCAACUAACACUUUGCUGAAAUUGUUGAUGUUUCAAAUAAUCAUUUUUUUGUAAAGAAACUUUACAAAAUUUUGUUUGAAUUGAAAAACCAGAAGUUCAUUUUAAUUUUUUAGAUAAAUCUAUUCCUUCAAGGUAAAACUUGUGAUUCAGAUUAUCCGGUUUGAUUCAGUUUUCUAUAAGACUAUGUUUGCAAACAAUUUUUCAUGUAAUUUUGAUGUUUUUACUAAGUUUAAACACUAUUUUUACUAUUUAUAGUAUUACAUAUUAUACUAUAAUCUAUACUCUUGUUUAUAAUUUGAAGAGCAGAUUAUAAAAUGUUGCUCUCUUUAACGUUUGGUGAAACACUAUAACUCGAUAAUUAAUAGUUAAUGACUGUUAAAACAAUUAAUUCCAUCGAACAUAGUGAAGGAAAACUAAAAUACUAAAAUAUUUCAAAUCAGUUCUUAUUUUUUGGUUCAACCAAAAUUCACCCCUUUUUUAUUCUCUUGAGUCGUGACAGUACCUCACUCGACGGAGUUGACACAUAUACUCGACCAAGUCUUUUCUUCUACAAGAUAAGAUUUGUACUUUGUACUCCAACUGUUUGAUUUGCAAUUUCAUAUACUACUCUCUAUUCUCAAAAAUGGUGAUUAUUAGGCUGUUAGCCCCAAUUGAGCUAACCCAACACACCAAACUCAGAGGCUGACCGACUAAUGCAUUUACGCACACCAUCUCCAUGUCUAUAAAAACUUCAUACAAUUUGCUUGUCCCCUCACCAAAACCUCUCUGUCAUCUAAUUUUUUACUAACAUGGCUUCUUCCCGUUUCUUCAUUUUAGUUAUACUGAUUAUCGCAUUGUCAUUUUCAGGCAUCGGAGUUUCAAUGGCAGCUCGCCGCAGUCUGCAGGAGCCACUUUUUGGCUAUAUCCCACGUUUAGAUCUUCCUCCACUGCCUGGCACUGGAAACACUUUUCCUGUUCCACCAGUUGUUAGGUUGCCUCCUUAUGUAGUUGGAAGAAGACCAUCGUUCACCCCAUUUUCAUUUCCAAUUCCACCUUCUCGUUAAUUUUUUUUAUUAUUGAAAUUUCACCUUAUUGUAAAAUUAAAAACAAAAAUCUUAUUCCUAGCAUACUAGCUAGGUUAUGUAAGAGAGUGUUACUGAUGAUUAAAAAGAUGCUGUAUAAGGAAAAUUUGUAUGAUUUGCUUUAGUUUAAUAUAUAAUAAAGGUCCAUGUUGAGUCAAGAUUUGAUUGUGUUUAAUAUGUAAUAAAUGAAAGAAAUAAAAAGGAUAAGGUAAGUAUUAAAUUUUACAGUCCCGGCCCACUCGGAGUGCUUCUUUUCACCAAAUUGAAGCCGACAACUUUGACCCGUGAAUAAGCCUCAUUGCGUUUUAUUAUUACAAAGACAAUUGGAUUGAUUGUUGUUUUAUGAUAUGUAUGAUUAUGAUCUUAAACUUAGUUAGUCAGCAUUUGGUUAUUGAUAUACAACAAUCAAAUUUCAAUAUAUAUGAAUUUUUAAACGAAAAUUUCAUCAAAAGAACUAAAUUUGAAAAGAGAUUGUAAUUAUACAAUCGGGUAUGAUCUGGUUAGUCUUCUCAUUUAUGUGAAAAGUGAAAGGUCUCGAAUUCGAAUCCUCUCGACUACACGUGUUUUCACCAGUUGUGUAGUCUGCAGUAUUAUUUCGGUCCGAUGGACCUCCCAAUGAAUAAAAAAAAUUAUCCAAUCAAAUAUUCAUUAAAUUAGGUUAUUGGACUUCAAACAAGGGUUUGGUGUGGGAAGUGGCAAAAUUAAUUAGUUGAUGACUUCAAAUAUUAUUUGGUGGAAGCAUGUUUUAACCUCAUUACACAUAAAAGUAUAGAUUUUCUGACUUGGAAAUCUAGCCAACCACAACUACCUUUGACAACUUACAAUUGGAAGCUAAGCUAACCAGGAAAUAAUAAUCAACUUCAAAGAAUUUCACAAUUUUCCCUAACUAAACCACCUACCUACAAAUCUCAUUAUCUAUAUAAGCCCAAAACCAGACAUUCAUUUUCUCUCAUCCCAAACACGAUCAAAUCCCUUUUCUUAGUUAACUCUCAUAAUUAAUUAUGGCCUCUUUCAAGUGCUCAAUCCUUAUUGCUUUCUUCAUUGCUUUGUCAUUUUCAAGCAUGGAUGUUGGCUUAGCAGCCCGUCAUCUUCUGCAAUUGCCUCCAUUGCCUUCUGUGCCAAAUUUGCCAAAGCCUACAUUACCACCAUUGCCUACCAAUAUCCCAACUCUGCCUCAGCCAACAUUGCCAACUACACAGCCUUCUUUGCCCAACCCAACUGCACUGCCUCCACUUCCUAGCUUACCCACCAUGCCUGCUGUUCCAAAGCUCACUUUGCCUCCAUUGCCAAGCAUGCCUUCAAUCCCCACUAUCCCAACUACAAUUCCCUCUAUUCCGUUCCUUUCUCCACCACCUGGCAACUAAUUAAAUCUUUGAGGCAUCUUUUAUUGCACUUCGAUGGAGUUAUUUUGUGACACUGAUCAUAGCUUGUCUUUUUAUUUAUUUUACGUGUUUGAGCAUUGUCAGUUCCUCGUUAUGAUAUUUGUUUCUACCAUUGUAUUUCUUGAUUGUUGUCUUUUUCUUUUAAAUAUUUGUAUACCGUCUUGGCAACAUUAGCCUAUUCAUUUUAUUCUGUAUCCAAUAUAUAUUUAUUGUUUUAAUUGAUCAACUUAUCUAGUAAAAGUAGGAGAUUUGGUUUAGUCUAGGGCUCUCUGUUUCUCCUCUAUUUGUUUUCUUAAAAUAUUUCUUGGAGUUUCUUAUGUUUGAUUUGAGGUGUUCAAAAAAAUAAUCACAUACUUAUAUUAACUCAUUAAUCACCAAUACUCAUUAUUAUCAAUUCCUGCUAAUUAUCACCACUGGCCAUAUACUGGCCACCAUGACUAUUCACUGACGAUACUGAAAUUUGUCAUUUUAUAUAUUUUUUCUUUAUAUUAAUAAUAAAAUUUUAAAAUAUGAAAUUGAUGUAAUUUCAAAUAUUUUUAUUAAUUUUGAUAAAAAAAAUACUUCUUAAUAUUAUAAAUUGUAAAUUUUAAUAUUCUUUAAUUAAUUUUCAGUAUUAUAACCAAAUAACAAAAAAUAUAUUAUUAAAAAAAUUUAAAAAUAAAUUAUUUUCCGUUAAACAAUCAGAGAGGAGAGCCAAACUAGAAAACUUUAUAUAAUUUUCCGUUACUUUGAAUGUAAUUCUAGGAAUAAAAUUUCACGUUUAUAACAAUAUUGAAAUUCAUGUUUAGUCUAAACCUGCAAUAAUAUUUGCCAAGAUCCCACCAAAGCCCAAUUCCGUUUUGGUCAAUUGGACCGAAUAAUAUAUGAAAUCAGGUCAUUUUCUGUUGGGAAUGACCGUUAGUCCCGACUCAUAAGCAUCAAGCCCAAUUAAGUUUUUAUUUUAAUUAAUAAAUAAUAAAGAGAAGGAAAGCUAAUACCCAUAAAAUUGAGUUCCUUUAAUAUAUAUAUAUAUAUAUAUAUGAAAGUUGAAAUAAAAAGAAAAUUCAACGCUCUUUCUUUUUUUAAUUUUUAAUUUUUCUUUUGUUAGGGAUUUUUAAAAUUUUAUUAUAUUUUUCUGUAUUGUAAUUGGACAACUUAAAUAUUUUAAUUAAUAACUAUUCAUAUUAAAUGAUUUAAAUUACUGAACCUUACUUAUAACUAACUAUCUAUCUUAAAACACGUUAUUUGAAUUGCUUAAAUUAUAAACUACCUAAAAUUUAGCUGAAUUUUUAAAUCCAAACAUAAUAUAUCUAUCUAUUUAUAUAUCUGCAUAAAUUUUUUUUACCAGUUUUUGGGUUUUACUUUAUUUAUUAGUAUUGGCAUUAGACCUUAAAUAUUUAUUGAAAAUAUAAAAAAUGUUAUCUUAAUAUUCUAUUAACCAUAUUAGCUAAUUUAAAUUAUAGAACUUUAUUUGUAGAAUUAUCUACAAUAAUCUAUUUGAAUUGUUUAAAUUAAUAUGCUAUAGAUAAAAUCUAGCUAUUAUUAGAUAAAUUUUAGCUAUUAUUAGUUGAAUUAACAUAGUAUUCUACUUUUUAUAAAACACUUUACUACAUUAACACAGUAAUAUUAGCUUCCACUGUCUCUUUAUAAAUAUGGGAAGCCUUUUCACAAUGAAAAAGAUCCCAUAAGCAAAGAACAUAUGCUUUAAUUUUUUUUUUCUAUAUAGUUAGUAUCCAUAAAAGAUUGCAUAUGCAUAUUCUACUUCUUUAAUAAUUAUUUAAAUUUUUUAAAAUUAUUAUUCUUUCAGGAAGCCAUAUAAGGAUCAAAUCUCGAAAUCAAUUCUCAUCAAAGUAUGACGAUGUUUGAUGAUUUGGUACAAAAUUUAUGAUAAACUUUUAUACCUUUCAGUGGUAAACUUUCAUAUGUGCGUUAAUAUUAUAAAGUCAACUUUUUUUUCUUUUUGUAGAAUCAUACAUUCUCUAUCUAUGACCUAACUAUCAAUAGGGCUUAUCAAUAAAAAUUUAUUUCAAAUAGAAUUUUGGAUAAAUUUAUUGUUAAUUGUAACUACGGAUAAAAUUAUAUGCACUAAGUAUAAGUGUUAUCUACAAAUUUUUAAAACAACUUGAGAGUGGUCACAUCAUAUGCACCAAGUAUAAAUGUUAUCCACAAAUUUUAUGUCUUGUGGUUUCGACUUAUUUUUAAUUUUAAUUUUUACAUUUACAUGAGACUUAUACACUAAGUGUAGAUAAGUCUUAUCCUCUGUUUGGUGGAUGUGCUAAGUGUACGUAGGACCUCACAACAGAUAUAGGUCUUAUAACCAUUAGAUAACUUUUAAAUUAUAUUCAACAAACCAUUAAAGAGUAUCAAACUUAUAUAUACGCGAUAUAUGAGCCCACCUAUGGACCAAACCAAUCACAAUAAUAAAUUUUUAAAAACUUAUUUCAGUUUUACCAUUAAAAAAAAAAAAAAAAAAAAAAAAAAAAAAAAAAAACUCUCGUUUGAAAAAAAAAUGCAUUUUUCAUUUGUUUGGUGCAAGCAUGGACCUAUAAAUUCUCCCAUCAAGUACCGCUCACUUCACUAGUCCCUCUUCCCAAACAAACCAAUAACUAAGAAGUUCGAGAAUUAAGAGUUGCUCUAGAGCUAUGUUGCCACGUCAAACCUUUAGCCGCAACCAUCUUAAUCUACAGCUUUUACCAGUUCGCUUCAAUCCUGCAAAGAUUAAAUUGCACUGUGUAUAAUUGAACAAGAAAAAGAAUGAAACUUUACUAAUGGAGGAUAUAAUUUUAAACAAAACCUGCACAGCGAGCAGCAGAAUUCCAGUGUCCUUCGCCAUGGAUGUUGAUGUAAUUUAUAAGUAUGGCGUCUUCUUCCACACUCCAUGGACCUCUCCUAAAGUCCAGUAUGGCGUCUUCUUCCAAAGUCCAUGCGCCUUUCCUUAUGUCUGUAUAUUCCUCUUCUUCUCUCUCGCAUGAAGCACAGCAGGAUUCUGCAUCUUGUUCAUUAUUGUUUUCCAAAAAGACCUGAUCUUUUUGGUUAUUGCUCAUGGUGAUCCUGAUCUGACCAUUCAUGUCAUCAGUUUUCUUGAAAUUUGCAACUGAACUGCAACUUUCGCUGCUCACUCUAUCACUGCCACCACCGACAUAAUUACAAGAAGACUGAGAACUACUUCCACGUGGAUCAUUACCAGCAUCAUCCCAGCUUUGGCCAGUGCUAGAAGAGGUAGAUCCAGAAUUAGGACUUGACUCAUCUGAGUCAAACACCCAAAACCUCAUUUUUCCAAGUAUUUCCUUUUCGUUUUUCUGCCGAUGUUUUAGAACUCUUCUUUAUUUGAUUUCUAUACUCUCAUUUAACGGAAUGAAUUUUUUUUUCUUACUUCUUCUUCACUAUCAUUCCAUGCUUCAAAGGCUUGAAAUUGCAUGGUAUUUAUAGGCAUAAAAUUACUAUGACAAAGCAAUAAAAAAUUUCCUCCACAUCACAAUUGGAGAAAAUUUCAUCCAUGAGCCCAUGACCAAUAUCUCCACUUGUUAGUCCUAAUUAUUUUUUUUAUUAAAUUUGUGUUGAUUUUUUUUUUUUUAAAUAUGUGAUUCACUUUGUAAGAACUUUAAUAAAGAUUGAUAUAUUUAUAGAGAGAGACGUAGAUUUGGAAAUGAGAGAAAGUUCCAAGAGCUUUCUUUGCCGAUUGCGUUGUUAUUUUCCGAGUACUUUCAUGCUUUCCUCUUUUCCUUCUUUCCCGCCUUUUCAAAAAGAUGGUUUGUGAAUAUAUUCUUUGCGUUGUAUGAGGAUGAAUGGGUAACAAAAGUCUGCUAGUAAAAUAAUUAGAAAUCAAAUCUUCAAAGUUGAAUAUGUUAUCAAGAAUAAAUUUCUGUAUAAUCUGAAAAAACUAUUUAUUUUAUUUUUAUGGUUAAUUAUUUAGUUAUAUAAAUAAUAAAUCUAUAUAUAAUUGUGGGAAUGAAGAGAAAUAAUGGGAUUUUUUACUGAGAUUGAGAUAUUCUAAAAUAAUCUUAGUCGUAGCCAAUUAAAAUUUUCCACUUAAAAAUAUAUAUAUAAUUUUUGUUCAAUUUAAUUAGAUAUCUUUUAUUAAAAUUAAUUUUUUAAAUAAAUACAUGUAGAUAAUUAGCCUUCAAUCAGCAUUCGAAGGGAUCAGCAUUCGAAGGAAUGUACACAAUCAGCACUUGAAGGAAUGAAUAAUAAGGCAUUUCAGUGCUAGAGGAAAAGGAAAGGGUUCGAACAUAAAUCUAUUGUUGGAUCUACAUGCAUUUACCAUAAGACUUUGUCUUAGUAUGCAAAUGUAUUUUUAUUUUAUAUUUCUUAAAAUUGAGAAAUAAAGAGAAAAAGGAGAAAAACAUAACAAGAAAUAGCAAAAACAAUAGAAAGCAAUAAACAAUGUCGUAUUAUAAGAAUAAAUUACAAUAAUGGAAGUAAAAACAAUGGUACUCCAACAGAUUUAUAAGAAUUCCACUAAUGGUUCAAAGCAGCAUAUGAAAGUUUAGUUUCCAGCUGGAGGAGGGGAAAAGAAUGGAAUAGAGGGAAUUGUAGUUGGGAUUGUGGGAAUUGAAGGCAAGCUUGGCAAUGGAGGAAAAUUCAUCUUGGGCACAGUAGGCAUGGUGGGCAAGCUAGGAAGUGGAGGUAGUGUAGUUGGGUUAGGCAAGUUUGGCAAUGUGGGUUGUGGGAGAGUUGGAAUAUUAGGAGGGAUUGAUGGUGAAUUUGGCAUCGAAGGCAAUGGUGGCAAUUGCAGAAGGUUGCGAGCCGCUACGCUAACGUCCAUGCUUGAAAAUGACAAAGCAAUCAAGAGAGCGAGAAUGAAACAAUUGAAAGAGGUCAUGCUUUUAUGUGUACGUUCCUCUAAUAUUUGACUUUCUUAUUGGUCUGGAUGAGAAAAACAAGUUCCAUUUAUAGGCUUAUAUAGCUGAUGAACUACGGCAUAGGCACCAUAAUCACAAAUCCCAUUUUAGUCAUUUUUGUUAGUUGACCUUUCUCAUCAGUUUUCCACUUAAAGUUGAUCAAUGUAGUUGAGGAAAGAUAUACACAUAUACUGCUAUAACAUGUUUGAGUCAAGAGAUUUGAUUGUGUUGUGUCAUAUAGCUAGGUAUACAUUUUCUGCGAUCUAAUUGAUGGGUUAUCUAACUGACUAACUUUGAGUUCUAGCUGCCAAAAAAUGGAAUAAGUCAUCAAUCUUCCACUCUUUACUGUUUAAUUUUUUGUAAUAGGAAAUUAUUUUUUAAAUGAAAGAAAUAAAAAAGAUAUAAGACAAGGUUGACAGUAGGCGAGCCUAUCACGGUUUGUAUAUGGGUCAGGUUUUGGAUUUGAAAAUACCAAAUUUUAUAUAGUUUCCAUUCGGCUAAUAUUUCUUUUCACAAAUUGAAGUCUGCAACUUGACCCAUGAAUAACUCUCCCUUAUCUUCCACAUCUUGGAAUGUCUCUAAGUCCAAUUUUUUUUUUUUUAAUUAUCACAAAGCUAAUUGGAACAUUAAAUUCAUAAUAUGAAUAAUAAUGAUAUUAAACUUAGGGAUCCUUUGGUCAUUGGAAUACAGACAAUUAAAUUUCAGUAUAUAUGAAUUCUGAAAAGAAAAUUUCAUGAAAAGAACUAAAUUUGAAAAUAGAUUCUCUUUUUGUAAUUAUACAAUUAGGUUAGGACUUCAAACAAGGGUUGGGUGUGGGAAGUGGCCAAAAAAAGCCUGAUUGAUUAGUUAAUGACUUCACAUAUUAUUUGGUUGAAGCAUGUUUUGACCUGAUUACACUUAAGAGAAUAGAUAUACUGACUUGAAAAUCUAGCUAGCCAACCACAACUACAUUGAAAACUUAUAGGUGGAAGCUAAGCUAAACAGGAGAGAAUAAUCAACUUAAAAGAUUUCACAAUUUUCCCUAACUAAACCACCUACUCGCAAAUCUCAAUAUCUAUAUAAACCCAAAACCAGACGUUGAUUUUCUCAUCCCAAAGAUAUAUCCAAAGCCCUUUUCUUAGUUAACGCUCAUUAUUAAUCAUGGCCUAUUUCAAGUGCUCAAUCCUUGUUGCUCUCUUCAUUGCUUUGUCAUUUUCAAGCAUGGAUGUCGGCUUAGCGGCUCGCCGUCUCCUGCAAUUGCCUCCAUUGCCUUCUAUGCCAAAUUUACCAAAACCUGCACUGCCGCCAAUGCCUACAAUUCCAAGUCUCCCACAGCCUACAUUGCCAACUUUACCAACCACUCAACCUUCGUUGCCUAAGCCUACUCUGCCACCGCUUCCAAGCUUGCCCACCAUCCCUGCUGUUCCAAAGCUCACUUUGCCUCCAUUGCCAAGCUUGCCCUCUAUCCCAGCUACAAUUCCUUCUAUCCCCUUCCUUUCUCCACCGCCUGGCAACUAAUUAAAUCUUGGAACGUCCGUUUGCUGCACUUCCAUGGAGUUAUUUUGCGACACUGAUCAUAGCUUGUUUUUAUAUUUAUUUUAUGUGUUUGAGCAUCGUCAGUUCCUCAUUAUUGAUAUUUGUUUUCACUAUUGUAAUUCCUGAUUAUUGUCUUUUUCAUUUAAAUAUUUGUAUACCAUCUUGGCAACAUUAGCCUAUUCAUUGUAAUGUGUAUCAGUAUAAAUUUAUUGUUUUAAUUGAUUUUAAAUAGUUAUGUUUGGUGAGGUUGUCCAGAUUUUUUUUACUUAGUUUAUCCAAGCCAGGAUGAGUAUAAGUGAGGAGCUUUCACUGAGUAUAGUUUUUCCUAGAUUUAAAAUAAUAAAAUAAAUUCAUAUUUUCAAGAUAAAAAAAAGUCAUAUAUGGUUGAAUAAUUGUGUUACAAUUUAAGUGAAAUACUCAACUUAUUCAUCUCCUUUACAUGGCAUUAGAACAAAUUCGACUUGAUUAAGUUAUUUUUCAAUUCAUUAGUGUCUAAUUCCAACGAGGCCUAUUCAACUUUAAGGGCAAAAGGCGCAACUCAAUUUUAGAUAAAGGAUUUCAAAUUUCCAGUGUCAAGUAAAAAUCUUGUCAGUUGCGAUUGAGAACCUUUUAGUAUUGCUUAUCAGUCCAGACAUCUCAAGCUAAUCUAAAACCACAAUUUUUUAAAAAUUGGUGCUUAGUUUAGUUUUAUUUAAAACUAUAAAAAAUUAAAAAGUUGGCUGAUUUGUUGUUUUGAAGUUCAAAUUGAGCCAAAUUCAAAAUGUGUUUUUUGGCCAAUUAAUGGGUAAAAUAUUUUUAAUCAAUAUUUACUUCAUCCAUAAAGAUGAAACUCUUGACCUUACUUAAAAAGAAAAGAGUAUCUAACCUUUCGUUUACACAGGGGAGUUGAUACACUUAAAAGUGUUUUUUAUAUAUCUCAUCUCACACAAAGUGUUUGGUAUAUGUCUUUCCAAUCAUAGUACAUUGAACCAUUAAUACUGCCAAGUGUUGAUGCUAGGGGGUGUUUUGACCCGUGGAAGAUCCGGCCGUGGACCAGGGUUGACUCGUGGAAGAUCCAGAUACGAACCGGGAUUGACCCAUGGAAGAUCCAGAUGUGACCUGGUCUUGACCAGUGGAAGAUCCACAUGUGAACCAGGCUUGACCCAUGGAAGAUCCGGAUGUGACCGGGGCUUGACACGUGGAAGAUCCAGAUGCGGCCUGGAUGCGCUCAAUUAAACGAGGCAUCCAAAGGUAGCGCAUACUAUCUUUAAAUUGUUUGCUAUUAACGUCACAUGUAAGCUGCUUUGCUUGCUUUUGGACACUCCUUUUCCAGUAGUUCUUUAUCUCAUUGUCUGUUCUUCCCGGCAAAUGCUGCGCUAUUUUUGACCACCUUUAACAUUUAAAAAAGAAAAAAAAAAAAAAGAUAAAUAAAUGCUAGAUUAGGCCAAGAAAAUAAAAACCUAGCAAUAACCAGAUAUUUUUUUUUUUGUAUAUAAGCCCUCGAAGGUAGAACAUAAAAGGUUUUUACCCUCCCCACAAAGAAUCAGAUCAAUUAUUUGAUAAUUAAGUACCUGUUGCCCCAUCGAGAAUGAAGUUCAAGAAUUAAGAGUUGUUCUUCAAGAGUUAUGUUGCCACGUCGAAUAUCGGGCCGCAAAUAGUUUAACCAUCUUAAUCUACAGCUUUUACCAGUUCGUUUCAAUCCUGCAAAGAUGGCACAGUGUACGGAUUAUUCAACAAGAAGAAUGAAAGGUUACGACAGGUUGUUGAUCAGCAAAAGUGGAUUACAUUCCUGGACGAACUUCAUUUGCAAGGUAAAGAUUUGGAAAAAAAAAAAAAAAAAGAUUGAAGGGUUAUUAAAGGUAAUUAAUGAAGGAUUUAAUUUUAAACAAAACCUGCAGAGCGAGCAGCUGCGUUCCAGCGUCCUUCGCCAUGGCUGCAGACAUAAUUCACAAGCGUCAUGUCUUCUUCCACAGUCCAUGGACCUCUCCUUAUGUCAAUAUCUUCUUCUUUUUGGUCAUCUUUAUCGGAAAUCAUCUGACGAUCUUCAUGGUCUGGGUUUACAAGAGAUCCAGGUUCGAGGCCCCAGUUCAUGUCAUCAGUUUUCUUGAAAUUUGCCACUGAACUGCAACUAUUAUCACAAGAAUGCUGAGAAGUACUUUCAAAAGAAUCAUCACCAGCAUCAUCCCCGCUCUGUCUGGAGCUAGAAGAGGUAGAUCCUGAAUUCGUAAUCGACUCAUCUGAGUCAAAGACCCAAAACCCCAUUUUUCAAAAAUUUUCUUUUUGUUUGUCUUAGAAUCGUUUCACAUCAUAAAAGAAUUAAUAAAGGUUACAGACAUUGAUUUGAAAAGGAGAGUAAUUUCCAAGAGCUUUCCAUGUCAAUUGCCUUGUUAUUUUCCGAGUACUUUCUUGCUUUCCUCUUUUCUUUCCUCCCCACCAUUUCAAAAAGAUGGGCUGUGAAUAUUUUCUUUGCGUUGUAUGAGCGUGGCUGAAUAUAUUCUUUCGUUCACAAAUGUCCGCUUCUAAAAUAAUUAGAAACCUAAUCUUAGAAAAUUGAAUCCUGUUCUCAAAAAAAAUUUUUGUUUUUAUUUUUAUAGUUUAUUAUUUAAUUAAAUUAAUAACAGGUAUAAUUCAAAUACCAUCCCAUUAAUUCAACCAACAUCCCAAAAAUUAAAUAUUUAUAUUAACAAUACAAGGUGUUACGUUUUAAAUCCUAACAUUCUUUGGUUAGUGCUGGGCCAAAAAAAUCCCCAAGUUGGAUGACUUUAAUGUUUGGUGACAUUGUUGCUCCAUUUCCGUCCUGUAUUUUUUGGACUGCUUGUAUUGAGAAUAUUUUUUACUAUACAAAAUUUAAGCCAACCACCGAAAUUGUAAAUGAACCGAAUCCGAGUUAUUUAUGAGUUAUUCGAAAUCUAGCUUUCUAUGCUUAUUUAAUAAAUAAGUCAAGUAGUUGAGUCGAAAAAGUGGAUUGAGCUACUCAGAAUUUAAUUAAUUUGAUAAAAGAUUGUUCUGAUUUACUUUUUCAUAAUUGUUUAAUAAAUCAGUCAAAAACCAAUGAAUCACUCAUUUAUACGUAUUUGAACAAAGUAGUAUAUAAUUUAAUACAUUUCUAUAGAUUUUUAAGCAUAGAUAUAAUUUUUAAAAUUAUUUUCUAAUUUUAAAUAAUAUAAUACUAAUAAUUAAAGUUUUCACAUUUACGAUUAAAAAAAAAAAAUUUAAACUCUGUGAAGCCUAUUUACGCUUGUGAGCUUAUACUCGACUCAAAUAGGCUUAACUCGUUUAUUAAUAAGCCAAGCCUGAUUUAGUGAAAACUCAGUAGGCUGUACCCCCUACCAACCAUAACAAAAUUUAACGACUUAUAUCUGGAAGUUAAGCUAAUUAACCAGAAAAAAUUAAAGUCACUAUUUUCCCCAGCAAAAUCAUUUACUCGUGAUCAUAAAUCUCAGCUUCUAUAUAACCCAAAACCAGACUUUGCUUCCUCAUGCUUGACAGAGCAAAGAUCAUCAAUUUGCUUUAAGAUCUAUCAGAUAUCCAAAAUGGGUUUUUCCAAGUGCUCAAUCUUUGCUAUUCUCUUCAUUGCUAUAUCAUUUUCAAGCAUGGAUGUUAACGUAGCAGCUCGUCAUCUUCUGCAAUUGCCUCCAUUGCCUUCUGUGCCAAAUUUGCCAAAAACUACAUUGCCACCAUUGCCUAACAAAAUCCCAACUCUGCCUCAGCCCACAUUGCCAACCACACAACCUUCUUUCCCUAACCCAACUACACUGCCUCCACUUCCUAGCUUGCCUACUGUUCCUAAGGUCACUUUGCCUCCAUUACCAAGCAUGCCCUCGUUUCCUACUAUUCCAAGUACCCUUCCUUCUAUUCCUUUCCUUUCUCCACCACCUGGAAACUAAUUUUCUUUUUAAAAUCAGACUCCAAUGCCACUGAACAAUACUCAUUAUUUGGAAACUAAAUCUUUGAUAUGUCAUAUGUCCCAUUGCCUUACCUCAUACGGAUUUUUUUCUUUUUUUCUUUUUGUGACACAUUGUGAGCUUGUCUUUCAUUUACUUUUUGUGUUUUAGCAUUUUUUUCCGGAUAUGUAUUUGUUUCUGUGAUUGUAAUUUCAUGUAUUUAUUUAUAAUUAAAUUGAGCUUGAUGGAAUCUGACGCAUAUUUUAUAGUUACAUCUGCCAAAUUAGCAUUCCCAAAAGGCCAACAACCAGGAAAGAGAACUAAAAAAUCUUAGUCACCUAAAUCUUUAAGAGCUGAAGUUGUUCACAUAAUAUUUCUUUUAACUGAACACAUAUCGAUUUCACUAUAAAAAUAAAUAAAAUAAUAAGCAUUUUCUAGAAACCCUUCCUGGAUUGGCUCAAUAUAGAGUCCAAGUGGUAUAGAAACAGAUUUUUUAUAUUAAUUUAUUUUCCUUAGGCUACCUGUCUUUAGAUUAGUCCACCUACAUGGUACAAUUACUAAAAAAUUAUUAAGUGAAAAAAAAAAAAAGACGGUCUAUCAUCAAUUCUUAAAAGUAAAAAAUUGAACAUAUUCAAAUUUUCAAUACAAACGAAUGCUUAAAAAUGAAAUAUGAAAAAAAAUAGAAUAUAUUCAUAUGGAUUUUACUCUUGAAUAAAAUAUAAUAAAAAAUCAAUUAGAGAAGAAUAUAAAAGAAUCUUGAAUAAAAUAUAAUACAAAAACAAUUAGUAAAAAAAUAUAAAAGUUUUUUAAAAGAAAAGAUUUUACCUUAACAUAGAUAGAUAGCUUGUCAAUUUAGUGGUAAAUGCAUGUACGAUUCAGUAAGAUUCGAAUUUUCCUUCCCCGAUACUCAAAAAAUAAAAUAAAAUAAGAAAGCCAGCCGCCCACAAGAUGAUAUUUCUUUGCAAACUAUUUAGGGUGGAAUUAGAGGCCAUCUUUGAAUAUUGGCAAUAUAAUUAACCAUCUCUCUACAACUUAAUUAAUAAAUAUUGGAGCAAAUGAUGCUAGCUUUCAACAAGUAUAACAAAUUAUUAUUAUUAUUAAUUUGGAAAUUCAAAUUACUGACAUCAUCACCCGCAAAAAAUCUGGAAUUGAAGAGCAAAAAAUCCCUUCAAUGUAUAGCAAGCCGUCGUUAACCUUCCUUAUCGAAGCAAUUUUUUAUAUGUAGUUGAAAAACGAAAAAGGAGCCAUGGGAAAUUGGCUUUCCAGGUAGCAGUGGAUACGUUGUCUUUGAAUUUCCUGACCUUACUGAUGCGGUUUCCCGCCUUUUCAAAAAGAUGGUUUGUGAAUAUAUUCUUUGCGUUGUAUGAGGGUGAAUAUAUUCUAUGGGUAACAAAAGUCUGCUAGUAAAAUAAUUAGAAAUCAAAUCUUCAAAGUUGAAUAUGUUAUCAAGAAUAAAUUUCUGUAUAAUCUGAAAAAACUAUUUAUUUUAUUUUUAUGGUUAAUUAUUUAGUUAUAUAAAUAAUAAAUCUAUAUAUAAUUGUGGGAAUGAAGGGAAAUAAUGGGAUUUCUUACUGAGAUUGAGAUAUUCUAAAAUAAUCUUAGUCAUAGCCAAUUAAAAUUUUCCACUUAAAAAUAUAUAUAUAAUUUUUGUUCAAUUUAAUUAGAUAUCUUUUAUUAAAAUUAAUUUUUUAAAUAAAUACAUGUAGAUAAUUAGCCUUCAAUCAGCAUUCGAAGGGAUCAGCAUUCGAAGGAAUGUACACAAUCAGCACUUGAAGGAAUGAAUAAUAAGGCAUUUCAGUGCUAGAGGAAAAGGAAAGGGUUCGAACAUAAAUCUAUUGUUGGAUCUACAUGCAUUUACCAUAAGACUUUGUCUUAGUAUGCAAAUGUAUUUUUAUUUUAUAUUUCUUAAAAUUGAGAAAUAAAGAGAAAAAGGAGAAAAACAUAACAAGAAAUAGCAAAAACAAUAGAAAGCAAUAAACAAUGUCGUAUUAUAAGAAUAAAUUACAAUAAUGGAAGUAAAAACAAUGGUACUCCAACAGAUUUAUAAGAAUUCCACUAAUGGUUCAAAGCAGUUCGAAGCAGCAUAUGAAAGUUUAGUUUCCAGCUGGAGGAGGGGAAAAGAAUGGAAUAGAGGGAAUUGUAGUUGGGAUUGUGGGAAUUGAAGGCAAGCUUGGCAAUGGAGGAAAAUUCAUCUUGGGCACAGUAGGCAUGGUGGGCAAGCUAGGAAGUGGAGGUAGUGUAGUUGGGUUAGGCAAGUUUGGCAAUGUGGGUUGUGGGAGAGUUGGAAUAUUAGGAGGGAUUGAUGGUGAAUUUGGCAUCGAAGGCAAUGGUGGCAAUUGCAGAAGGUUGCGAGCCGCUACGCUAACGUCCAUGCUUGAAAAUGACAAAGCAAUCAAGAGAGCGAGAAUGAAACAAUUGAAAGAGGUCAUGCUUUUAUGUGUACGUUCCUCUAAUAUUUGACUUUCUUAUUGGUCUGGAUGAGAAAAACAAGUUCCAUUUAUAGGCUUAUAUAGCUGAUGAACUACGGCAUAGGCACCAUAAUCACAAAUCCCUAGUCAUUUUUGUUAGUUGACCUUUCUCAUCAGUUUUCCACUUAAAGUUGAUCAAUGUAGUUGAGGAAAGAUAUACACAUAUACUGCUAUAACAUGUUUGAGUCAAGAGAUUUGAUUGUGUUGUGUCAUAUAGCUAGGUAUACAUUUUCUGCGAUCUAAUUGAUGGGUUAUCUAACUGACUAACUUUGAGUUCUAGCUGCCAAAAAAUGGAAUAAGUCAUCAAUCUUCCACUCUUUACUGUUUAAUUUUUUGUAAUAGGAAAUUAUUUUUUAAAUGAAAGAAAUAAAAAAGAUAUAAGACAAGGUUGACAGUAGGCGAGCCUAUCACGGAUUGUAUAUGGGUCAGGUUUUGGAUUUGAAAAUACCAAAUUUUAUAUAGUUUCCAUUCGGCUAAUAUUUCUUUUCACAAAUUGAAGUCUGCAACUUGACCCAUCCAUAACCCUCUCUUAUCUUCCACGUCUUGGAAUGUCUCUAAGUACAAUUUUUUUUUUUUUUAAUUAUCACAAAGCUAAUUGGAACAUUAAAUUCAUAAUAUGAAUAAUUAUGAUAUUAAACUUAGGGAUCCUCUGGUCAUUGGUGUACAGACAAUUAAAUUUCAGUAUAUAUGAAUUCUGAAAAGAAAAUUUCAUGAAAAGAACUAAAUUUGAAAAUAGAUUCUCUUUUUGUAAUUAUACAAUUAGGUUAGGACUUCAAACAAGGGUCGGGUGUGUGAAGUGGCCAAAAAAAGCCUGAUUAAUUAGUUAAUGACUUCACAUAUUAUUUGGUUGAAGCAUGUUUUGACCUGAUAACACUUAAGAGAAUAGAUAUACUGACUUGAAAAUCUAGCCAACCACAACUACAUUUGACAACUUGUAAUUGGAAGCUAAGCUAACCAGGAAACAAUAAUCAACUUAAAAGAUUUCACAAUUUUCCCUAACUAAACCACCUACUCACAAAUCUCAUUAUCUAUAUAAGCCCAAAACCAGACAUUGAUUUUCUCAUCCCAAACAUAUAUCCAAAGCCCUUUUCUUAGUUAACGCUCAUUAUUAAUCAUGGCCUCUUUCAAGUGCUCAAUCCUUGUUGCUUUCUUCAUUGCUUUGUCAUUUUCAAGCAUGGAUGUCGGCUUAGCGGCUCGCCAUCUCCUGCAAUUGCCUCCAUUGCCUUCUAUGCCAAAUUUACCAAACCCUGCAUUGCCGCCAAUGCCUACAAUUCCCAGUCUUCCACAGCCUACAUUGCCAACUUUACCAACCACUCAACCUUCGUUGCCUAAGCCUAUUCUGCCACCGCUUCCAAGCUUUCCCACCAUCCCUGCUGUUCCAAAGCUCACUUUGCCUUCAUUGCCAAGCAUGCCCUCUAUCCCAGCUACAAUUCCUUCUAUCCCGCUCCUUUCUCCACCGCCUGGCAACUAAUUAAAUCUUGG
rnacentral:lncRNA from 1 species